UGGGGAAUUUUGGACAAUGGGCGCAAGCCUGAUCCAGCCAUGCCGCGUGCGGGAAGAAGGCCUUCGGGUUGUAAACCGCUUUUGUCAGGGAAGAAAUCUUCUGAGUUAAUACCUCGGGAGGAUGACGGUACCUGAAGAAUAAGCACCGGCUAACUACGUGCCAGCAGCCGCGGUAAUACGUAGGGUGCAAGCGUUAAUCGGAAUUACUGGGCGUAAAGCGUGCGCAGGCGGUUUUGUAAGACAGAGGUGAAAUCCCCGGGCUCAACCUGGGAACUGCCUUUGUGACUGCAAGGCUUGAGUGCGGCAGAGGGGGGAUGGAAUUCCGCGUGUAGCAGUGAAAUGCGUAGAUAUGCGGAGGAACACCGAUGGCGAAGGCAAUCCCCUGGGCCUGCACUGACGCUCAUGCACGAAAGCGUGGGGAGCAAACAGGAUUAGAUACCCUGGUAGUCCACGCCCUAAACGAUGUCAACUGGUUGUUGGGAAGGUUCCUUCUCAGUAACGUAGCUAACGCGUGAAGUUGACCGCCUGGGGAGUACGGCCGCAAGGUUGAAAACUCAAAGGAAUUGACGGGGUCAUAGCUGUUUCCU
rnacentral:rRNA from 1 species